UCUCUCUAUGUUUAACCACCUCAAUGGUUCAACAUCGUAUUGAGUUUAACCAGCUUGUUCAUCUGGAACUAUGCUCGAGUGUGGAAAAGUGGUAUGAUCAACUUAAUUGGAUGCUUGAAAGUUCUCCUAAGCUAAAAGUUCUCAAGCUCAACAAGUGUAAAGCACAUAGAUUUGUUUUUGCAAAGAAAAUUGAGUUUCCUUGGGGGAAAACCGAGAUCGGUUCCUGAAUGUUUGACGUUCCAUCUCAAUACUUUGGAGUGGAACUAUUACAAUGGGGGCCGGGAAGAGAAGAAGAUGGUGGCUUACAUCCUAAGACAUGCGAAACUGUUGAAGACUGCGAAAAUAUCUAUUUGGGAUUUGGAUUGUGAAGCUGAGCCUCGUAUAUUCAGGGAGUGGCGUUCUUUUCAUAUGGCUUCAAAGUCAUGUCGGCGUCUGUCUGAACAUGAACCUUGAAAGUUUAAUAUCUGUUUGAAAGCUGUAAUAUAUUAUGUUGUUGUAAUAUCUAAGCAAAUUUAUACUUAUUAAUGGUUGGCUACUCUUUUUGAACGUA